rnacentral:rRNA from 1 species
UACGUAGGAGGCAAACGUUAUCCGGAUUUACUGGGCGUAAAGCGCGUGUAGGCGGUUUGAUAAGUUGGACGUGAAAGCUCCCGGCUCAACUGGGAGAGGUCGUUCAAUACUGUCAAGCUAGAGGAUGGUAGAGGGAGGUGGAAUUCCGGGUGUAGUGGUGAAAUGCGCAGAUAUCCGGAGGAACACCAGUGGCGAAGGCGGCCUCCUGGACCACUCCUGACGCUCAGACGCGAAAGCUAGGGUAGCGAACGGGAUUAGAAACCCCCGUAGUCC